rnacentral:rRNA from 1 species
AGAAUCAACGCUGGCGGCGUGCCUAACACAUGCAAGUCGAACGAGAAAGUGGAGCAAUCCAUGAGUAAAGUGGCGCACGGGUGAGUAACACGUGACUAGCCUACCCUUGAGUGGGGGAUAACCUAGGGAAACCUGGGCUAAUACCGCAUAAUACCUUCGGGUCAAAGGAGCAAUUCGCUUAAGGAGGGGGUCGCGGCCGAUUAGUUAGUUGGCGGGGUAAUGGCCCACCAAGACUGUGAUCGGUAUCCGGCCUGAGAGGGCGCACGGACACACUGGAACUGAAACACGGUCCAGACUCCUACGGGAGGCAGCAGUGGGGAAUUUGCGCAAUGGGGGAAACCCUGACGCAGCAACGCCGCGUGGAGGAUGAAGUCCCUUGGGACGUAAACUCCUUUCGAUCGGGAAGAUAAUGACGGUACCGAGAGAAGAAGCCCGGCUAACUUCGCGCCAGCAGCCGC